UGUUAAAUGUCGCUGUAGAUUUUGCAGCACAGUACUGUAAAAACCUACAGUACAGUACCAUAUUUCUAUAUUACAGUAAAAUACUGUAAUUUAUAUUGCAUUCUGGGUAAUUUUGAUUGAGCGGGAAUAUUUUACAGUACAUUUUAGUGUUGCUGUAACCCUGCUGUAACCUGGCUGUAAUAUACCAGGCAAUAAUACAGGAUUGCUGUAAAUAACGCGCCACCUGACGUCACAUCACACAGACAGAAGAACACAGCCGCUGGUGACUGGAGAAGCAGAACGGUGUAUUUCUGGAAGUUUGCAGUGUGGUCCACUUGUCUUUGCAUCCUGGGAAGUGCAUUGCUUUCACAAGGAAGCGUAUUUUUUUGGCAUUGAAGGAAAGAAAUGUACUGCCCGACAGGGAGUGAGCAGAGGACCAGGACGGUGGUGCAGAGUGAUGGCCAUCAACCCACAUGUCAACAGCUUUGUUCGGUCCUUUGUGUUUAAAUGGAAGACUUCACACUGAGGGACUGUGGCCUGUUUGCAACCAUCCACGUGCCCUUCAGUUAGGGGUGAAUCUUGUGGGACACUUGUUGUUUUUGCUCACUUUUUAAGAUAAAUCAAAUUUCUGAUGCACUGUACCAAGACCGUUGCUGAUGGGGCGAAAGAUG